rnacentral:piRNA from 1 species
AUGUGAGUCUCUGGAGUCAAGCUC